AUUGAACGCUGGCGGCAGGCCUAACACAUGCAAGUCGAGCGAGCGGCGGACGGGUGAGAAAUGCCUGGGAAUUGAUCAGUCGGGGGGGAUAACAGUUGGACAGGACUGAUAAUACCGCAUACGAUUGGAAUGCUCAGGGGUGGUUGGAGAGUUGGUGAGGUAAUGGCUCACAAAGGCGACGAUCCCAAGCAGGUCUGAGCGGAUGAUCAGCCACACCGGAACUGAGACACGGUCCAGACUCCUACGGGAGGCAGCAGUGGGGAAUAUUGCGCAAUGGGGGAAACCCUGAUGCAGCCAUGCCGCGUGAGUGAAGAAGGCCUUCGGGUUGUAAAGCUCUUUCAUCGGGGAGGCGUUACUCAAAGAAGAAGCACCGGCUAACUCCGUGCCAGCAGCCGCGGUAAUAC
rnacentral:rRNA from 1 species